CCUACGGGGGGCAGCAGUGAGGAAUAUUGGUCAAUGGGCGCGAGCCUGAACCAGCCAAGUCGCGUGAGGGAUGACGGUCCUACGGAUUGUAAACCUCUUUUGCCGGGGAGCAAGCGUGCGUUCGUGAACGCACGUCGAGAGUACCCGGAGAAAAAGCAUCGGCUAACUCCGUGCCAGCAGCCGCGGUAAUACGGAGGAUGCGAGCGUUAUCCGGAUUUAUUGGGUUUAAAGGGUGCGUAGGCGGGAUGCCAAGUCAGCGGUAAAAAUGCGGUGCUCAACGCCGUCGAGCCGUUGAAACUGGCGUU
rnacentral:rRNA from 1 species